AGAGAGUGCCAUUACAAGAGCACCGUUCAGUUCGAAUUGAAACUUUGUGGCGCACGGACGGUUGGAAAUUGCCUUUCAAUAAAAAGCGGAAAGCGAUAUAAAAAAGUAAACGCUAAUAGCGCAAAGAGUAGCCGAAAAGAAAAGCGUACACAAAGCAGAGAGCACUAACAACAACAACAGUAAUAACAUUAGCAUCAGCAGCUAAAAAACAACAACUACAGCGUCUCGCAGUGGCAUUGUUGUUGUUGUUUCUUUAACCACUACACCAAAACGUGUAAACGCGCGUGUGUCUCUGUGUGCGUGUCACUGUCGUCUGUCUCCUCCUCCUCCUACGGCUGCUACUAAGUGUAUUUGUUAUCUGAAGAAUACCACAUACAACACACCAAACAAACAACCAACCAAUCAACCAACAACAAAAAGAAACAAACAAAACGGAAAAUUUAUCACGCAAAUCAAAAAGUGCAAUAAAAA